rnacentral:snRNA from 1 species
AUACUAACCUGGCGCCGUGGAGAAGGACGAUCUCGCAGGUCCUGCCACCGGGUGGAGUCUCUCCAUUGCACUCCGGACAGAUGAAGCUCGCUGCAAGUGCAAAUGGCACUAUGCUGGACGUGUAAUUUGUGUUAGCGGGUGCUGUGGCAACACGGCACCUC